AUUGAACGCUGGCGGCAUGCCUUACACAUGCAAGUCGAACGGCAGCACGGGUGCUUGCACCUGGUGGCGAGUGGCGAACGGGUGAGUAAUAUAUCGGAACGUACCCUAUUGUGGGGGAUAACGCAGCGAAAGCUGUGCUAAUACCGCAUAAUCCCUAAGGGGGAAAGCGGGGGACCGUAAGGCCUCGCGCAAUUAGAGCGGCCGAUACCUGAUUAGCUAGUUGGUGAGGUAAAGGCGCACCAAGGCAACGAUCAGUAGCUGGUCUGAGAGGACGAUCAGCCACACUGGGACUGAGACACGGCCCAGACUCCUACGGGAGGCAGCAGUGGGGAAUUUUGGACAAUGGGGGCAACCCUGAUCCAGCAAUGCCGCGUGAGUGAAGAAGGCCUUCGGGUUGUAAAGCUCUUUUGUCAGGGAAGAAACAGCAGCUCUAACACAGUUUGCGAAUGACGGUACCUGAAGAAUAAGCACCGGCUAACUACGUGCCAGCAGCCGCCGCUG
rnacentral:rRNA from 1 species